rnacentral:rRNA from 1 species
CUCUAUACAUGCAGUCGAGCGAAUCUGAGGGAGCUUGCUCCCAAAGAUUAGCGGCGGACGGGUGAGUAACACGUGGGCAACCUGCCUGUAAGACUGGGAUAACUUCGGGAAACCGGAGCUAAUACCGGAUAAUCCUUUUCUACUCAUGUAGAAAAGCUGAAAGAUGGCUUCGGCUAUCACUUACAGAUGGGCCCGCGGCGCAUUAGCUAGUUGGUGAGGUAACGGCUCACCAAGGCGACGAUGCGUAGCCGACUGAGAGGGUGAUCGGUUCCACACCUAGGACUGAGACACGGCCCAGACUCCUACGGGAGGCAGCAGUAGGGAAUCUACCGCAAUGGACGAAAGUUCUGACGGAGCAACGCCGGCGUGAGUGAUGAAGGUUUUCGGAUCGUAAAACUCUGUUGUUAGGGAAGAACAAGUACCGUUCGAAUAGGGCGGUACCUUGACGGUACCUAACCAGAAAGCCACGGCUAACUACGUGCCAGCAGCCGCGGUAAUACGUAGGUGGCAAGCGUUGUCCGGAAAUUAUUGGGCGUAAAGCGCGCGCAGGUGGUUUCUUAAGUCUGAUGUGAAAGCCCCCGGCUCAACCGGGGAGGGUCAUUGGAAACUGGGAGACUUGAGUGCAGAAGAGGAAAGUGGAAUUCCAAGUGUAGCGGUGAAAUGCGUAGAGAUUUGGAGGAACACCAGUGGCGAAGGCGACUUUCUGGUCUGUAACUGACACUGAGGCGCGAAAGCGUGGGGAGCGAACAGGAUUAGAUACCCUGGUAGUCCACGCCGUAAACGAUGAGUGCUAAGUGUUAGAGGGUUUCCGCCCUUUAGUGCUGCAGCAAACGCAUUAAGCACUCCGCCUGGGGAGUACGGCCGCAAGGCUGAAACUCAAAGGAAUUGACGGGGGCCCGCACAAGCGGUGGAGCAUGUGGUUUAAUUCGAAGCAACGCGAAGAACCUUACCAGGUCUUGACAUCCUCUGACAAUCCUAGAAGAUAGGACGUUCCCCUUCGGGGGACAAAGUGACAGGUGGUGCAUGAUUGUCGUCAGCUCGUGUCGUGGAGAAUGUUGGGUUAAGUCCCGCAACGGAGCGCAACCCGUGGAUCCUAGUUGCAAGCCAUCCAGUUGGGCAACUCUAAGGUGAACUGCCAGUGACAAACCGGAGGAAGGUGGGGAUGACGUCAAAUCAUCAUGCCCCUUAUGACCUGGGCUACACACGUGGCUUACAAUGGAUGGUACAAAGGGCUGCAAGACCGCGAGGUUUAGCCAAUCCCAUAAAACCAUUCUCAGUUCGGAUUGCAGGCUGCAACUCGCCUGCAUGAAGCCGGAAUCGCUAGUAAUCGCGGAUCAGCAUGCCGCGGUGAAUACGUUCCCGGGCCUUGUACACACCGCCCGUCACACCACGAGAGUUUGUAACACCCGAAGUCGGUGGGGUAACCGCAAGGAGCCAGCCGCCUAAGUGAA